UUCGAGUGUCCCAAGGACCCCGAAUAAACCACUUACAACCAAGAUCGCAAGAUUAAGUAACACAAAUCACACACACCAACAGUUUGCAGCGGAAAUCUUAUUACCAAAUUUUACAAGUUACAAAAAUUUUACUUUGUACAUGAUCGGAGUGAUUACAAAAGUGAUUCAAAGAAAUAACUUUGAACUGUUAUAAAUUAUUUCUAUUUUUGAAAUAUAUGCUAGCUCAAGUGACCAUCCUCAAUAAGAAGUAUAGAAGAGUUACUUAGACUUAUAAGAACGCCGAGCCCACCGGCACUUAACACCAUCAACAGCAGCACAAAGUUAAAACCUGAAAAACAACAGGGAAUAAAACCCUGAGUAUGGAAUUACUCAGCAAGACUUACCCGACUAAAGAAAAGAGUCUCAAGGGUAUGCUAGAUUUAGGAAUCAAGGAGAGGCUCUUAGCAAGAAUCAACUUAGAUACUUUUGCAGAAAUAGCUUACUAAAGUGAGUCCUUACUUUCAAUAUUUUAAUGCCAGAUUAAAUAUUAAUAGACUCUGUUUGCAUCUGGUUUAAUUUCUCCAUCUCAUCAAUAUAACAUCAUUUUUAUUCAUGAGGUUCACAUCCUGACUUAGGUUGCAGGUCAGUGACCAAGUCUUCAUGUCCGCGAAGUUACGGCGAUCUAAAUCGAUUAUACUCAGCUGAGGAUCUCCAAUCACACGACAUAUGUAGCACUUAACCCUUGCAUAUGUCAACUCGCCACCGGGGUUCUUAAGACCAGAUCAGGUUCACGCCAACCGAGAGCACAGGUACACCACCGUCCAGCCUCUUGCCACGGAGGGUACACGCUACUCUCGCCAUCUCUCCACUCCCAUUGCGUGUUAUCUUAUUCUGGUAUUAGUCUGCCCGAGGCAAAGCUUACCCAUGAUGAGGCAUGUGACCAGUUAAAGGGUCCUCGGUCAGCAGGCCUACAUACGCAUCCAAUCAUUAAUCAACCUGGGUAGAACAACACCUGUUCCUAGCCCAAGCCCCAAUUUAAGUACUUCCACCCUUAGGAUUGUUUGUAUUCCUUAGGAUGAAAAGAGCAUCAAAGGGAACUUUGCAGUAAGAUCCCACCACGCUCUCAAUGAAAAUAUUCUUGCAGGUAGAAGCCAUCUUUCCUCAGGAUAACCCCUGAGCUAGGCCUUAAUGCAAAAGACAACCUCUAUCCACAAGAUCUGAGCAGGGCUAAGCAUUUUUGUAAAUCAUAUUUUGAUACUUCAUCAGAAGUAUCUAUAAGGGUAUGGGUAUCAAGGUAGGCAAUGCAUCAAAAGGUUUCCAAGCAACUCCUAUAAACCUAAUGCACAUUUCGCUAGACUUAAAGUGUGAAAAGUAAUUUAAAAACACAAGGAAGGGGUUGCAUGCACCGGGGCUUGCCUGAAUAACACUAGGUUAGUGUUUGUUAGGCGAUGUCCGCUUGACGACCAUCCUUUGUCUUGGUACUCGCUGAAUUAUCCAUCUUCAAGUUCGUCCAUCAGCAUCACCUUGCGAAUCAGUCCCCCCGUUACGCCAUCUUGGGGUCGACUUGACUCAAGUUCUUCGUAUCUCGUGGUUAAUCAACGUACCUAAAUGAUUUGCAUAAUGCACAUGAAUGCAUAUAAACAAGAAUAUCACAAACCUAAAUAAGGCUACACGACGGUGAAUUAAACACCUAGCGGCGAGACGUUGUACUAUUUCCUAUGGAAAACACUAGUUAUCGACAUACGACUACGCUCGAUUAUCAUACUUUUCUAGUGUAAUCGUAUCUACUUCAAAUAUCAAAGUGAUAAUAAACUAAACACAAGUCCUAUAUCAAAACACCCAUCGAGUCACUAUUCACACCCUUACUAAUUGACGAUCAUUAUACAAUGUGAUUAAUUCAUUAUACAAUGUGAUUAAUUCACUAUUGAACACAAGCACAUCACAAGCAUCAGAUCAAUCCGAUUAGACUAGACAUAUGUUUCCAUUUUGUAAAUUAAGACGCAUAAAAUACAGGUCGAUGGUGCUAAUCACAAUCGGCCAUAACCAUACUUAAAAUUAACUUAACUAGUUUUCUAAGCCAUUUCAUCGGAUUAACUCGUACAGUCUACGAGUUAAAUACGAUAUUUAAUCGUUCGCCCUAGCAAGUGUGCCUUACACCUAUAUUUUACCAUACCUCGCGACUAUUUCAUAAUUACAAACAUCACAACAUACGUAUGCUAAAUUAAUAAAAAUGGUCGCGUAACAGCACACCGACAUAACAACCGAGCUGGCCAUAAUCACUAAGUGUGCCUAUGCUAAAUAAAAAGGAUCGUCGCAACCCCAUAUCUAUUAAUCCAUCCACUAAAAUAAAAUAAUAGAGGUAGCGAAUCAGAGUAUGAUUACCAUAUUGACCAUAACUUCGCGCAGACAACAACGAUUCUUGCGUAGACCUUUUUUUCCGAGCACCCGACAAGCACCACACGGGAUUUAUUGCUUUAUCCGAAUUAUCGGGAUCGUUCGACGACGCAAGGGAUAUCGACGAGUUGGAGACUUGCAGGGUCGAGCACGACAAGUAGUUCCGAGGGUCGACAUAAGCAGCACAAAAUUGGAAAUCAAAUCAUCGGAGUCGACGAGCACGUCGUGGGCACAACGUGGGUCGACGACGAGGUCCAUGACGAGCGUCGCAAGGCACGACAAAUGGGAAGGAGGUGACGCACGAAUUUCAGAGCAUGGAACUCACGGCGGCUUGAGGGAGAUGGCCGUGGGAGGGACUUCGGCGAGCUGGAGCGGGAUACGGCCUGGGCGCGAUGAAGGGAGCUGCGCGUCCAGAGCGAGCAGGGAGAGCACC
rnacentral:lncRNA from 1 species